CGCCAGUGAUAUUGAGAGAGUCCAGAAGCUCUACAAUUGCUAAUGAAAGAUUUAACGCAAUUCACUGGAUG